CAUUCAUCAGUCAAACUCUCUCUUUCUCUCUCUGAAAACGCAAAGAGCGGGAAAACUCAAAUACAGAUCUCCGACAACGAGCUGAGGCACGGUGGUCAGCGAUCUCAUCUCCGCCACUUCUUCGUCCGAUUACAGUUAGACAUAUCUUAUGAUGAGUUCAUUCGGACAACCAAUGAGUCUGAACCCAAGCAUGAAGCAAUUGUGAAGGAAUUUUACUAAGGGUUGUUGCCAAUGGUGAUAUAUAUCUAUGAAGGACAUUAUUGUGUCAACUUUGAGGAGUAUAAGGUGCAAAGCUGGAUCAAAAGUGGCCUAAGAGAUUUUUUCCAUUUCCUGAGCAUUAGUGGAUUGGGGCAUCCUAGUUCCUAAUGACAAUAAGCAAACCGUAUAUGUGUGUUUUGAUGUAUUACGAGGGUAAAGUUCUUUUCUUUUGUAAUUUGGAAUUCG